ensembl:lncRNA
UGGGGCGGCAGGUAGCCUAGUGGUUAGAGUGGAGGGGCGGAAGGUAGCCUAGUGGUUAGAGUGGAGGUGCGGAAGGUAGCCUAGUGGUUAGAGUGGAGGGGCGGCAGGUAGCCUAGUGGUUAGAGUGGAGGGGCGGCAGGUAGCCUAGUGGUUAGGGUGGAGGGGCGGCAGGGUAGCCUAGUGGUUAGAGUGGAGGGGCGGCAGGGUAGCCUAGUGGUUAGAGUGGAGGGGCGGCAGGGUAGCCUAGUGGUUAGAGUGGAGGGGCGACAGGUAGCCUAGUGGUUAGAGUGGAGGGGCGGAAGGCAGCCUAGUGGUUAGAGUGGAGGGGCAGAAGGUAGCCUAGUGGUUAGAGUGGAGGGGCGGAAGGUAGCCUAGCGGUUAGAGUGGAGGGGCGGAAGGUAGCCUAGUGGUUAGAGUGGAGGGGCGGAAGGUAGCCUAGUGGUUAGAGUGGAGGGGCGGCAGGUAGCCUAGUGGUUAGAGAGGAGGGGCGGAAGGUAGCCUAGUGGUUAGAGUGGAGGGGCGGAAGGUAGCCUAGUGGUUAGAGUGGAGGGGCGGAAGGUAGCCUAGUGGUUAGAGUGGAGGGGCGGCAGGUAGCCUAGUGGUUAGAGUGGAGGGGCGGCAGGUAGCCUAGUGGUUAGAGUGGAGGGGCGGCAGGUAGCCUAGUGGUUAGAGUGAAGGGGCGGCAGGUAGCCUAGUGGUUAGAGCG